UGACCAGUACUGAUGCUGGAGUCUCUCUACAGGAGACUAUGAGAUACCUGGAAUCUCAGUGUCUUGAGGAGAUCGAGGUCAUGCUUAGGGGGGAGAUACAGGGCCAGGAGCUCGGGGAUCUGUUCUUUAACUGUGUGUUCGCCGAGAUCAAAUUCUAUAAGUGAGACAGAGCAGUUGUCGUUUUGAAUGUCACUAGUGCUUGCUGAUCUGCCUGGAGAGAGAGAGAGACAGUCCAGAGCGCACAGGUUCCUGCUCAAAUCCUGCUGAUGCCAUGCCAAACUAAUUGUGAUGUCCAUGGCUCCAUGCCACACUAACUGUAACUUAAAAAAAACACACUAGAUGUCCAUGUGAGUGGAUCACCAUAAUCAUGUGUAAUUGUCGCACAGGGCGUAUAUACGCAUCACAUUAC